ensembl:lncRNA
GCCAGACAAUGUUUCUUUGUGACUACAUUUCAUCUUCCUUCCUCAGAUGCAUUAUGAUAAAAUCUAAUUAUAGCAUUACACAAUUUUCCCCAGACAGUUUUUUUUUUUUUUUUUUUUUUUUUUUGAAGCAGCACAGCCAAUAUUUAUUUUUUUAUUCACUUCUUUUUGUUCAGCUUUUUUGUUUGUCUGCUGUUUCGGGUUUUAUUGCCUACACUACUCAGACAAGGACCGAUCUCUCUUCAAGUUAAUGAAGGCCAUGGAAUUCAGUUGUUGGAUCGUGACAGGACCCAUCCCACCUAGCAGAGAGGUGCAGGAGGUGGCUGGGAAGCAGUCACUGCCAGGGUCUGAUGGCAGCCCUCCUGAAGGAUGGUUCUUCCAUGAGGAGAGAUGGCACCACUCCAGGUCUCCACGUAUUGAGGGUGUAGGGUUUUACAGACAGUUUACUCAUCCACCACCUGCAUUAAGGAGAAUGGGCUCCAUCCUGCUCUUCCCCAGGCGUCUCUCUGCUACUCACCUGGUAGAGCCAUUCUCAGCUACAGAGGCCCCUUCACCACCAAUCUGGUAAGGAAUUAUCUUCUCCUUUCUAAUCACAAUUCAUUAAGUCAUUGGUAUAUAUUAUUAGCUUCUAAUUUAUGCUCAUGUUUGUGUCUCCUUUUGCAGUAGAAGUUAGACUUUGGUACAAUUCUUUCUUAUUUUCUGUUUCUCAAUUUUUCUCCAUGCAUAUACAGACAGUAACUGCC